rfam:Picea glauca, whole genome shotgun sequence.
GUCGAUAUGUUCGAGUGGUUAAGGAGACAAAGUUGAAAUAUGUUAGGCUUCGCCCGCACAGGUUCGAUCCCAGCUGUCGACG